GCCCACUAUUCGUUUAUAAUCCGUCUAUUUGUCCGUAAUACGCGUUUUGCCAUAGUUAUGAUAAUAAUAUCACCACUUAACGUUACACUAAUAUUAUAACCUGCGUAUUAUCGCCGCAGUACACUGUCUACCCGCUACUAUACCGAUUCGACAAUAUCGCGAGUGACUCGACGAUUUCAUAACGCAAUUAAAAGAUCAUUCCUGGUCUAUUUAUAAUAAUAAUUAUCCAUGUCUAUGUUAUCUACAUACAUAAUACGGAUCACGCCGUCAUAGAUCUAUAUG